AUGAUAUAUGAGCUUGUGCACUUCCUUAGCAAAUUUGUUGUGAUCUUUCUUGAUGGCAUAUUCAUACAUCAUGAUCAUAUUGCUUACCAUCAAUCGCAUGAUAACUUAUUCAUAUUGAGCAUCCAUUGCCAUAUUCAUUCUAUUGAUAAACCGUCUCACUAUGACAUCAUUUUGCAUCGUGGUUGCAUUGAUCAUAUUCUCAACACAUUUGUGUGCACAAUGCAUGCUUUUGCUCCCAUGAAUGCUUUGCAUAUCAUUUUAUAUCAUCUUGAUAAGCUUCAUGCGCUUUGUCACGAACAAUCUUGCCGCACGAACUCAUUCUUACAUGAUGGACACUUUGUGUGCGUUAACCAUCGCAUUUCCGAGUGUUGUUUGUGUUUGCUCUUUUUGCAUGUAUACCACUCCGGCGACACCUUGGAGUACUUGGAUUGUGCAAUGUCUUCAACUCCGUCCAACUACAAGUCCGUCCAAAACAAUUGUUUCCAUGGUGAUGAGGAUCACGAUCCGAGGUCGGAUCUGUCCCAAGGGGGGAGAUGA
rnacentral:rRNA from 1 species